AUUGAACGCUGGCGGCAUGCUUUACACAUGCAAGUCGAACGGCAGCACGGGAGCUUGCUCCUGGUGGCGAGUGGCGAACGGGUGAGUAAUGCAUCGGAACGUGCCUAGGGGUGGGGGAUAACACAUCGAAAGAUGUGCUAAUACCGCAUACGCCCUGAGGGGGAAAGGGGGGGAUCUUCGGACCUCACGCUAUUGGAGCGGCCGAUGUCGGAUUAGCUAGUUGGUGGGGUAAAGGCCCACCAAGGCGACGAUCAGUAGCUGGUCUGAGAGGAUGAUCAGCCACACUGGGACUGAGACACGGCCCAGACUCCUACGGGAGGCAGCAGUGGGGAAUUUUGGACAAUGGGGGCAACCCUGAUCCAGCCAUGCCGCGUGAGUGAAGAAGGCCUUCGGGUUGUAAAGCUCUUUCAGUCGGGAAGAAAAGGCGCCUUUUAAUACAGGGCGCUGCUGACGGUACCGAGAGAAGAAGCACCGGCUAACUACGUGCCAGCAGCCGCCGUAAUAC
rnacentral:rRNA from 1 species